UUGCACAAUCCGUGUCACUGACCACUCAGAGGCCAGAGAUCUGCAUAAACCACGCCCCUUUUUGGACCCCCAGUUUUCUCAGACACCGCUGCAUGGUCCAGUAUAGCUUCUGUUGGCGUUUUAUCACGUAUUUUGGUUCUUUAACAAUAGAUAUGGUUAAGAGGUGUAGUCACGGACUUUAUAAUAAUGACGACAGGUAUCCUGAAAGGCUAGUUGGUGGAUUUCAAUUUGUACCCUUUCCAAAACCGAAGACCCAGUACGAAAAAUGUCUUUGAUGGAUCAAACUUUGUGUAAGACCGCAUCAUCAACUGAAUCCAUCUAAAAUCAACCGGAACAGAAGACCGAGUACGAAAAAUGUCUUUGAUGGAUAAAACUUUGAGGAAGACUGCAUGAUCAAGUGAAUCCAUCAACCGGAACAGGUAUGUUUGCACGAAGUUUUGUCCUGCAACUGUGACACCCCCUUCAGUGUGACCUGAAUGGAGGCCCCUUUCAGCAGCAAAGGGUGGGUGUUGAGCUGCCACUGCUCAGUUCGGAUGCCUGGCUUUGCUGACUUAAAUAUAAACUCCACUUGCUGGGUCUCACCUGGAUAGAUGACCCCUAAAGGGAGGAGGAGAAUGAUGGAAUGUUUGAGAAGUUCUGUGGCAGGGGAAGUUGCUGCCAGCUGAAGAGAAGAGCUGUGCUACCCACAUUGCUGAUCUCCAGCUGAGACGAGACCCGCUCUCCGACAAGAGCCUCAAAUAUUAUUGUUGUGAUGAUUCCUA